UUCCCUGGGUACAUGGAAAGGCCAUGAGUGGCUCACAAGUCAAUUGGCUAGGUGUACAUCCUCACCUGGGUCCCUGCACAGAGGCUCUAAAGGAGUUUAUUCUGCACUCCCAGCGGUAAGUUGGACUCCCUGAGUCCCUCCUAGGUGAAGCCUCUUUGCUUCUAUCUGUAUCUGCUUCUAUCCCUGGCCCACCCUGAAGUUUACUCUCCAGCCUACCACAGGACUGACCACCUUUCCAUCUUCUGAAACCUUUGAUGUCUUUCACCUUGUCCUCUAAGGCCAGAGCCAGUUUCGCUGACUGAUGGUCAGGAAUCUCUUCUCCGUGUCAUGCACUCCGUCUUCCCUGACUUUCUGCUCCACAGGCCACUCCCCGAGUCCUCCUCUCCUUCCCUCAUCCGCUCAUCCUCCAGCCUGUCCCAGCCCUUCCCUGCCAGACCAUAAUUCCUCCGUUCCUUCUUUAAUCUCUGCUCUCCUCAGUUCACGCCCCACAGAGGCACUCUGGGGACAGGGACACUUGCCUGUGAUCUCAGUGCUCAGGAAGCUGAGGUAGAAGAUUACUUCAAUGCCAGUCUGGGCUACAGUGUGAGAUCCUAUCUCAAACAGUGGCUGGGCCAGCCAUGGAGUGUGCUCCUGUAACUCCUGCACUCCAAGGCUGUGGAGGCUGGAGCCACCCCAGAGCCUUACCUGUGAAGAAGAUGUAGUCGAACUUGUGUUCCAGCAGCUGCCCGGUCUCCUGACGCCCACCCAGUACCACAGUAAAGCAGCUCUGUGGGGGCGGGGGCAGGCAAAGGUCCUCAGACCCAGCUUCUGAGUCCACCCUGCCUGGAGCCCACCCACUUUGCCUCUUCACCCAGGCAUAGACAAUCCUUCCUGAGAACUUCCUGGGGCAGGGAAUGGCUGAACACUAGACCAAGAGAUAAAAUGAUGCUGGGACCAGCUAUGGGAGGGAUAUCAGGGGACAGACUACACAGGCUAGAUCCUAGAAGGGGAGCUGGGGGUGAGAGAAGGUGAUGGAGCUGAUGCAGAAGAGCCCCGCUAGCCAAGUAUAGAACUCGACUAUUUCUGCUUACCUGGUCCAGAUAGCGGGGCAGGACCUCAGCCAGUAUCUUUUCAGUGGCCUUGCUGAUCUCUGAGGGCUUGAGCACCACACAAUUCCCUGCGGUCAGCACAGGGAAUGUAGGAGAAGGCAGCCAUGCAGGGUGUGUGUCCACACCCACCCUCAGAUGAAGAAUCAUAAGUGGUGGACAAGGCCACCUAGGAGCAGGGUGCCAGUCCCCCUUCCCGUCUUCCCUUUCUGGGUUCCUAGGUAGCCCUGAGCUCUCCAGUGUGUAGGGCUGUGGGAAGGUGAAGGUCUCCUCACCUGCAGCUAUGGCCCCCACCAGCGGCACGAGUGUCAGGUUAAUGGGAUAAUUCCAGGGCACGAUGAUAAGCACCAGACCGAAGGGCUCCUUCCGGAUGAAGGCUGAGUCCAGCUGUGUAGCCUGGGUCAGGGGUGAGCAGUGAGGCUCUGUGGAGCCUCACUAUGGGAACAAGGAGUUCCCAAAGCCCACCUACCACCCUGCCACGCCCCCUCCUCCAAUUCACCAGAUUCUUGGACACUUUCUCAUCCUUCAUCCAAGACCGCAGGUUCCUGAGGGCCAGGUCCACCUCGGCCUGACUGAUGGCAAUCUCAGACACCUCGGCCUCGAAGGCUGACUACAGAAAGGAAUGAGAGUCAGGGCCGAAUUGGGCCGGUAUCACUUCCUUCCUGUAGGUCCUGCAUCUCUUUAUCCUUUCAUUCAUUCACUCAUUCAUUUAUUCAUUCACCCACUCCUGGGAGCCAUGGGCACCUGGAGGCAGACUAUAUAGUGGGAAGAGAUCCUAGCAGGCACAGAGGCCCUGGUGGCUGGUGAGGGCUUUCUCUGCUUCUGCAUAGCCCGGGAUACAGAGCAUGGGGCACAAGGCACGAUUAUCCUCGUCUUAUUCCCUACAGCCCAGGGGGUACCAAGUGCCCUGGUAGCAGAAGAUCAAGGUCUGGAGUGCCAGGCAAGACUGUACAAGGGAACACUCAGCCGGGCAAUGGUGGCGCACGCCUUUAAUCCCAGCACUUGGGAGGCAGAGGCAGGCAGACUUCUGAGUUCAAGGCCAGCCUGGUCAACAGAGUGAGUUCCAGGACAGCCAGAGCUAUAUAGCCCAGAGAAACCCUGUUUCGUAAAACAAAAACAACAACAACAACAAAAAGGGAAUACUCCACGCAAAGCCUGGUGGGUGUCUUGUGCAACCUAAUACCACCAUGAGUCCUAGUAGCUGAGCCUAGUUUCAGCCAUACACAGCUCAUAGCAAGCCUGGCAGCUCCUGAGGACCCUAGGGAGGUUUGGAUGGGCUUAGAAAUCAGUCUACACCUAGGGGGCAUAGGGACCUCAAGAGAGUAGGGUACUAUGAAUGAGGCUCUUCCUUGGGCCCUGCUUUUCCUGGCUGUGUGUCUUUGGGCAAGAAACUGAGUUCUCUGAUCCCUCCUCUAGGGUUAACUGUCUGUGACUGCCCAGCAGGAGGAGUGCUAGGGGGAGGAUGAGGGGAUGGCCACAGCACUGGACAAAUGCUGUCUGGCCUGCCAAGGGUGGAGACAGUGAGUCGUCUGACUGGAUCAGGGGGAGGUACCCAGGUGAAUUUUCUGGGCUGCUGCAUCCUUUGUAAGGUCCAGGUUGCUGGAGUCGGAUGAGAAAGCAGAGGUGGAACCUGAGCUAAAGGGGGAAAGGUCGGGUCCUCUGAGUGCUGGGCGGGGCUGGUGAGAAGCAGCCGGAGUCAGUCCCAGGAGUCCAGGACUGGGGUUGAGGAGUGUCUCCAAGGUAACCUCAGGGGAUAUAGGGAAGUGGAACUCCCUGGGGCAACCCCUUGGACAGCCAACUUAGGACUGGAGGGACCGUGUAUGGCUGCUGCUGGGACUGGGAGGGAGCCACAGGGCCUGCAGAUUACAGAGGCUGUGAUGGCUACAGUGCCAAGUGACAGCCAAAUCCUCCAGGGCGUGGCCCACUUCCUCAGGCCUUGUUUCUGUCUCUCUCUGUCUUUCUUACUCUCCCCCAGCCACUCUGGCUUCUGUAGCUCCUCAGUUACAGACACACCAAGCUCUCCUGCCUCGGGACCUUUGCAUAUGCUGCUGGGCCACUUCCUCCAAUGUCCAUGCAGCUCAUUCUUUCUCCCACUUCCUGUCUGUUCCGAGCCACUCCUCCCUUCUUAGAAAAGCCUUCUUUGACCUCCACGUACAAACCAGUUUCUUAGGCUGUCCCCCCCCCCAACACUGGAGUGUGUACACCUUGCAUGUUACCAGGCAGCACGCAUGCACAGCAUCCCCUGUAAAGGUCAGCUCUGUAGACACAGGGGCUUUGCUUUGCCUUUUCUCUCCAGACCCUAGACUGACCAGGACCAAGCACAUGCCAAGUUUUCCAUAAGCAGCUACAGAGUAGACGACAGAGGACAGCUGGAGGGGUCAAACAGUCCGCGGUGUCUUACAAAAGGAGCUGCGGUCCCCUGGGCUUUCAGCUCCUCUUCCUGGAGGAUGUGCCUAAACCGUGCUCCUUAUCCCAGUUGUACCACCCUUGCUGACCUCGGGGCACACACACCCCUACCCCACUGUCCCUGUUCCAUGCCACCUUGUGCAGGUCUUGGGCCAACGCCUCCUGCAGCUGUUGUUUGUUGUCUCGGAGGAAGUGGCUCAGGCCUUGCAGCUGUGCCGCUCGGAACUCAGCUGACCUCGUCCGCCCCUCCUUGAAGGCCUCCCGCAGCUGCUGAAGCUUGUCUUCAAACGAGUCCAUCCUGCAGGACAGUGCAGGGUGAAUCAGGUGGCUGGGGCUGCCCUCACUUUUGUGACAGUGUUCACCCCCUGCCCCUUCCCAGUGGCUCAGAGCCUUCCCAGGGUCUCUCUUGGAUAACUCCAGUGGUGACAAGAGUAGCCAUUGAUUGAUACACAGCCAGACAUGAGACAUGUCUCCUUCUUCCAGAUGGACUUACAGGAAGCUACAGGACAGAGUAUGGGCUUGGGGACAGCUGUUCAGCAGCCUUGAAGGCUGGCCCGGUGAGCCAGUGAAGAUUAGCUCUGACCCAAGGCCCUCCUGCUCUAGUGACCUCCCAGGAGCUACUUUCCACUGCCUGGCCUGGGUAGAGUGGACAGGAAUGGCUACGGUGAGGGAUACGGCUGCAACCACCGCAGUUCAGGAGCACUACACAAGAGGAGCCCGCUGAGUGGAGACGGUUCUGCGGCCUUGGCUGACCUUGGGCAGAGGAGUUACUAGUGACGACACUCUUGUGUCUCCUUGGCACAAAGGGGAGAAUGCCUUGGGCUUCCCAGAGGCCCUCCUGCCCACCUCAGCCACGUUGCCAGCUAGAACACAAGAGAAAGUGACCACUGAGGAGAAGGGCUAGGUGGGGUGAUAGAGGCUCAGUCACCAGCCAGGACUGGUAGACAGGGAGGGGGCUGGAUACUCCCCUGGGCUCAUCAGAAGAGCCCUGUGACGAAGUCACUCCUAGACUUGGUGCCUAGGACCGUUGGGGCCCCUUUCUUUCCUCAUUUCCUCUCUGAUUUCAGCACUCAGUGUAACUGAAGCCUCUUCCUCCAGGAAGCCCACUCUGAUGCCCCUUUAUCUGUUCACAGCGGCCCCUCGGCUCCGCUUGGCUUUGUACCGUGUGGCAGCAUAGGAUGGAAGCCCAGUUACCCUGUGCUCACCUCCUUUUAUUGUUCCCUCCCGCUGGACCAGGAGGCCAACCCCACUUUGCCUAUUUAACUCAUAUCUUGGGGCUGAGUGCCCCAAACUUCCCCAGCUGCUGGAGGAGUUGGGAUUUGUCGUCAUUAUUGUUGGUUUGCGUUUUUUAAAAUCUUGCCUCUGUGUGUGA